AGGGAAUAUUGCACAAUGGAGGAAACUCUGAUGCAGCGACGCCGCGUGAGUGAUGAAGGACUUCGGUUCGUAAAGCUCUGUCGUAUGGGAAUAAGAAAGUGAAUGUACCAUGCAAGAAAGGAUCGGCUAACUUCGUGCCAGCAGCCGCGGUAAGACGAGGGAUCCUAGCGUUGUUCGGAAUCAUUGGGCGUAAAGCGGAUGUAGGUGGCUUUGUAAGUCAGAUGUGAAAGCCCCGGGCUCAACUUGGGAAGUGCAUUUGAUACUGCGAAGCUUGAGUGCUAGAGAGGUUACUAGAAUACCUGGUGUAGUGGUGAAAUACGUAGAUAUCAGGUGGAAUACCGGCGGCGAAGGCGGGUAACCAGCUAGACACUGACACUGAGAUCCGAAAGUGUGGGGAUCAAAC
rnacentral:rRNA from 1 species